UCGUAACAAGGUUUCCGUAGGUGAACCUGCGGAAGGAUCAUUAAAGAGUAAGGGUGCUCAGCGCCCGACCUCCAACCCUUUGUUGUUAAAACUACCUUGUUGCUUUGGCGGGACCGCUCGGUCUCGAGCCGCUGGGGAUUCGUCCCAGGCGAGCGCCCGCCAGAGUUAAACCAAACUCUUGUUAUUUAACCGGUCGUCUGAGUUAAAAUUUUGAAUAAAUCAAAACUUUCAACAACGGAUCUCUUGGUUCUCGCAUCGAUGAAGAACGCAGCGAAAUGCGAUAAGUAAUGUGAAUUGCAGAAUUCAGUGAAUCAUCGAAUCUUUGAACGCACAUUGCGCCCCUUGGUAUUCCGAGGGGCAUGCCUGUUCGAGCGUCAUUACACCACUCAAGCUAUGCUUGGUAUUGGGUGCCGUCCUUAGUUGGGCGCGCCUUAAAGACCUCGGCGAGGCCUCACCGGCUUUAGGCGUAGUAGAAUUUAUUCGAACGUCUGUCAAAGGAGAGGACUUCUGCCGACUGAAACCUUUAUUUUUCUAGGUUGACCUCGGAUCAGGUAGGGAUACCCGCUGAACUUAAGCAUAUCA
rnacentral:misc_RNA from 1 species